rnacentral:rRNA from 1 species
UACGACUACAUAUCAGGCAUAUCAAUAAGCGGAGGAAAAGAAACUAACAAGGAUUCCCUUAGUAACGGCGAGUGAAGCGGGAAGAGCUCAAAUUUGAAAUCUUCAAGGUUCUACCUUGACGAAUUGUAGUUUAAAGAAGUGUUUUCUGUUAGAGGAGUAGCAAAAGUUCCUUGGAAUGGGACAUCAUAGAGGGUGAGAAUCCCGUAUUUGGUUAUUCUUUCUAGCUUUGUGAUACACUUUCAAAGAGUCGGAUUGUUUGGGAAUGCAGUCCAAAAUGGGUGGUAAAUUUCAUCUAAAGCUAAAUAUUGGCGAGAGACCGAUAGCGAACAAGUACCGUGAGGGAAAGAUGAAAAGAACUUUGAAAAGAGAGUUAAACAGUACGUGAAAUUGUCAAAAGGGAAGCGUUUGACACCAGUGUUGUUUAGUUGAUAAUCAAUUCAAUAGUUUUUGAUUCUAAGUAGUAUUGACUUCAUCAGCUUGCUGCUUUCUUCUCAGAAAUUAUUGAAUGCACUUUUCAGUUAACAAGUCAACAUCAAUUUCUUUUGUUGUAAAAGGGUAAGAGGAAGGUGGCUUGCGCUUCGGCUCAAGUGUUUAUAGCCUUUUAUCUCUGCAAUCGGAGAGAUUGAGGUCUGCAGCGUAGAUCCUUCGGGGUUAGAUACAUUGUGCUAAGCUAUAGCCUUGUAUAGACAACUUGUUGACUAUGCUCAGUCAUGUAGCUUACUCGCUGAUGCUAUUUUACCUACGCUUAGGAUGUUGAUCUACAGAGCGAGAGU